CAUUUAGAGCCGGAAAAAGAAUUGAUCCGUUCACCUCAUGAGUCAGGUCUGAAUUUGGAGAAAAGCUCCGCCACUGCACUUGACACCACCAACACUGGUUUGAAGUGCAGCUCAGGUUAAAUACUCUCUCUCCUCUCUAGAAAGAUCCAAUGAUUGCUACCAGGUGGACACAGUUACCUGCAGGGAGAGAGAGAGGAAAAACACAAUGCUCAUUGUCCACCAAAAGAUAUGUCUCAGGACGCAAGCCCUGGGAUAACUGCUAUCACCCUCCUGGAGCAUAUACAGGCAAGAAAUCCAUUAAUUAGUUGUUAUGGAAGUUAUUCAUUAAGCUUUUAAUGUACUACACAAAAUGGUAAUCUAAAUGUUUAUUUUAUCAUUAGUUUUAUUUAAUAUAUGUUUUUUUAUUGUUUUAUUUUUUUAAGGUGAAUUGCUGGGAAUGGAGCACCUUUACAGCCAGACCGGCAAAACCCUGACUCCGGUGCUCCAGAACCCAGAGGAGGAAGACAGGCUGGUGGAGGAAGUACAUGACGAGGAUCUACAAGAUGACGGGUUUGAGGAGGAGAUCAUGGAGGACAUCACAGUUCCAGUGCUGUAUGAGGAUGACCCCUGCCGUGAUCUCAGAAACAGCCCCUUAUCUUCGCCUCUGCCUCAGUCCCCAGCAUUACUGGCUGAGCUGUCCACAUCAGCUGGUGGAGAAGGACAGCUUCCUAGCCCAGCCCCCUCAGUGCCGUCACAGCCAUCCAAGUCUGGAGACAGUCUCUCUGUUGAGGCUCAGGGAGUAGUCAUUGGACCUGAUGGCAUUGCUGGGUGGGACAAGGUACAGGAUCUGGCUGCUUAUUUGGUAGGUCUUCGUGAGGCUCCUUACCUCACUGACCUGCAGGUGACAGAGGCCAUCCAGCUGUGGACAGCUCUCCUGGAUGUUGAUAAACAGCGCAUCAACUACCAGCCUCGACAUCAGCCUCAGCUGACACAUGGGCGCUUUAAGGCACCGAAGCGCUCCGGAGUCACUCCAGGUGUGGAGAGCGUCAAGCGCUGUCUGAUUGGACAUCCUGGGGGUCCAGCACAGUGGCCUAGCACCAGCCGCUUGGUUGAGGCCAUUUGUACAAAGCUGUGUGUCGUACACAAGUCCACUUCCUAGAAGGCUGGUGUUCGCAUGCACAGGUGGUCUAAAAUACUGACCGAUUACCACCACAUCCGGGAUCUGGUGCUUGGCAGUCGCAGGCUGAUGGAUGAAACAGUGAUCCAGCUUUUUGAGCUAAACCAGAAGACGCUCAUUCAGUGGUUUCAACGGAGGCAAAAGGAUCAGGAAAUGAGUGUACUCACUCAG